GGCACUGUUUUGUUGUUGUCAGUAUUUAGGCCCAUACAUGUAGACUUUUUCUCUCUCUCUCAAUAAAUAACCUUUUUUAUUGGCCUUCUGCUGAGAAGCUGAAGCCAAGAAUAAAUGUUUUAAAAGGAAGAAUCUUGUGUUAAAUGUCUACUGUGGUUUUGUGGGAGACAGGAGAGGGAGAGACAUCAGAAGACAAGACUACAGCAUUUUCUGUCAGACAUGGCAAUAUUAGGAUCCUUACUGGGUUUCCAUUAUUUUCAGCCUUGGCUGAGAGGGAAAGAGGAGCUGCUACUGACUAUUGUAAAUGAAGAUCUGGGAUGGCCUUCUCCUGGUUUUCCUGCCUCGGUUGUAUCAUCCUGCACCAGUCCUACUUGCAGUAGCAGUUACAAUCUGGACAGUGACUAUGCCAGCUUCCCAUUACCUAUCAAAGGUCCACAACUGCAACUCAGACCUCAGUCUCCACAGAGCACUCAACAGCAGCCAAGCAGGAGUAAUGAUUUGCAUCUUCUCCCAGCUUCUCCCAGUGAGAAGGAGAUCGCUGUGCCAGAAAUGAAUCGGCCCCUUUUCCUGUUGGCUGGCUAUGCUAAAUAUGGAUGGCCAUAUGCAUGGAUAUAAUCCAAUCAUGAACGUUUGAUUAGUGUCGGAGGUGCUGACUCACUGGCCAAAGAUACACCAAUGAAACUCAAAUCCAUCACAUACUGGGUUUUAACUUAUCAAGAACACGGGUGUGGGAUGUCACUAAUGAGCUGUUGGGUCUGUGCGCCAUGGCCCCUCCAGAUAAUCUUUUCUCUCUGACUACCUCCAAACCCUUCCCUUCCCAGAGCGCUUACUUGCAACUGGAGCACUCCUUAACUUCUUGGAGAUGAUUGUGGUUCAAGGAAGUCGCAAGGAACCAUUCUAUGAUCUGGGUGGGUGCCAUGCCGGAAAUUCUGAGCCUGCUGAAUCUGGUUUUACGGUAAAUGGAAUAGGAGCAGUGGACAGUCCUUAUUUAAUAGGAUCUACGAAGUUGUGGAGGAGAUCCAAGUCCUUGAGGCAACUCCUUUUUCAGAGUCUCGCUGAACUCCUGAAACACCGUAAUGUCCAGAGCAAGAGCCUCUCAAAACUGGACUCUGCAGAGGAGCAGCAGCCUUCGUCAAACAGCCAUGGACCUGGAGAUGACUAGACUGACUUUGAACACAAUAUAACAGUAGUAGGUUCUCAGUGACAACAACCAAGAUGAUAUUCAGAUGCAUAUAAACCAGAAGGUCCUGUUAUUUUAUUCUUCCAAAUGUAUAAGAAGUUCUCUUUAUCUCACAGUAGAUUAGGAACUUUUGGAAUCAUAGGUAUUUUACUCACUUUACUCUGGACAUCUACUUGAGAAAUAAAUAAUAAACCUUGAACAUUUUUAUUGCCAAGUAUUCCUGCUUGGCUUAAUUAUUACUAUUGCUUAAUUGCUCAUCUGAGGCUGCUGUUUGCCAUCUAUAAAAUGUAUAUGAAAGAUGAUGAAGCCUGUGCUUGCCAAAGAUGUGGGGAUUUUAGGUGUUUUUUUUUUUGAGGAUACAAGCCCUUCAGUGUCUUGGCAAAAAGUGAACAUAAUUUCUCAUGACACUGUAUAUAAACACUCAACUAAGUCCCACUCAGGCCCAAUUGUAUAAAAAGUAUUCGUUUUUUUGUGUGGAAUUCCAGGACAAAUUGCUCAGUGAUGACAAGUUUCCUUAUGGUCUUUCAGCAAUAAUAUUAUAGUAUGUUGUCCCCAUCCAAUAUUACAGAAAGAGAUGAGACAAUGGCACAUAUUACUGU